rnacentral:lncRNA from 1 species
CAGAGGGGCAGGACUGGAGCUCCCAGAAACCCCUGAGGAGGCUGCUGUACACAUACAGGCAGCAGGGGACCAGGGUGGCCAGAGGAGGAUGGUGGCAGGAAAGAUGGAGAGGAGGGUUUGGAAGCCCAGGGGCCACACUCCACUCGGAGAUUGACUGAGUUUAGACAAACUGAGGGAGGAGUGUGGACAGACGCCCAGCUGGGCAGCACCUCCCAAAGUUUCCAUCGCCACCAUCUGGGGACCCCGCCUUUGAGGACCGUUAAGAUCCAGAGCAUAACAACCCCUGGAGUUCAUAUGGUGAAACGGAACCGAGGUGAUGGUACGAGGAGAGCGGGUAUUUGGGAGGUGAUCAGAUCGUGUGGGCAGAACCCUCACUGAUGGGAUUAAGGCCCUUAUGAAGGAGGCUCUAGAGAGCUGCCCCGCCCCUUCCACCGUGUGAGAUCACGCUGAGAAGGUUCGUCUGUGACCUAGAGAGCAG